UAGGGAAUCUUCCACAAUGGACGCAAGUCUGAUGGAGCAACGCCGCGUGAGUGAAGAAGGUUUUCGGACCGUAAAGCUCUGUUGUUGGUGAAGAAGGAUAGAGGUAGUAACUGGCCUUUAUUUGACGGUAAUCAACCAGAAAGUCACGGCUAACUACGUGCCAGCAGCCGCGGUAAUACGUAGGUGGCAAGCGUUGUCCGGAUUUAUUGGGCGUAAAGCGAGCGCAGGCGGAAGAAUAAGUCUGAUGUGAAAGCCCUCGGCUUAACCGAGGAAUUGCAUCGGAAACUGUUUUCUUGAGUGCAGAAGAGGAGAGUAGAACUCCAUGUGUAGCGGUGGAAUGCGUAGAUAUAUGGAAGAAUACCAGUGGCGAAGGCGGCUCUCUGGUCUGCAACUGACGCUGAGGCUCGAAAGCAUGGGUAGCGAACAGGAUUAGAUACCCUGGUAGUCCAUGCCGUAAACGAUGAGUGCUAAGUGUUGGGAGGCUUCCGCCUCUCAGUGCUGCAGCUAACGUAUUAAGCACUCCGCCUGGGGGAGUACGACCGCAAGGUUGAAAC
rnacentral:rRNA from 1 species